rnacentral:misc_RNA from 1 species
UGGUUCUCGCAUCGAUGAAGAACGCAGCGAAUUGCGAUAAGUAAUGUGAAUUGCAGAAUUCCGUGAAUCAUCGAAUCUUUGAACGCAUCUUGCGCUCUCUGGUAUUCCGGAGAGCACACCUGUUCGAGUGUCUUGAAUUUCUCGCACCUUCAUAUUCUCCGGAAUUGAAGGCGUGGUUAUGGGCAUUGCUAUCUUACAGAUGGCUUUCCUCAAAUGUAUUAGCUGAUCCCAGUUGCAGACUUGGUUCUACUUGGCGCGAUUAAGUUUGACCGCUGAGGACAGUCCUUUGACAGGAUUGGCCAUGAUUGCCUAGGAUUGCUUCUAAUCGUCUCUUACUGAGACAUAUUGAAACAUUUGACCUCGGAUCAGGUGGGACUACCCGCUGA